rnacentral:misc_RNA from 1 species
GACUGAUUUAUGUCUCCUUAAGCAACCGCGCUUGCGCUGCAUUCUCGCCACUCAGCUUGUCAAAAUUGUCCUGCCUCAUUUUCUGCGAAAACAGUAAUGAAUAGCCUCGACUAUGCUACAAAAUGUGACGAGCUGGACUGGCUUCUCAAGCGUUAUUGCGAUCGCAAAAAAAGGCAAACAAAAUCUCUUCAAGAGCAACUGAAAAAAGAGGUGUCUGCCAAUGUUGAGCUGAGGAAGUACAUUUCCUUUUUGGAAGGCAAGCUACAAGCAGAGGGUGAGAACGCCAACCAAUUGGUCCGGUCGCUUGAUGAUAGAAAAAGGCAUGCUAAAGCCGCCUUGAUGGGGCGCGAGCGGCACUUGCAUUCGCUUGCAGCAGAGUUGGAGUCGCGACUUUGUAUGGUCGAGCAGCGCGAACGGGAGUGUGCCGAGUUUGCGACCGCCCUUGAGGAGAGGGAUCAACAUCACUGGGCAAAAGUCAAAUCGUUCCAGAGGAGCAAAGCACUGUUCGAGGCAGGGCUGGCAGCGUCCAAGAAGACUGUGCGGGCAGAGCUGCAGCACAGCCGCUAUACGGAGGACUCGCUGACUGAAUAUCUCGACGAUGUACCCGGCACAGAAGGACUUCUGCUGGCGCGAGGGUGUGAUCUCGGCCUGAAGACCCGCUGCAUGGAGCACGUUCUGCUUUUACAAAGGGAUGAAUGUGCUGCACGCGUAAAUCUCCUCGCCGCUGAGAUAGAGGAGAGAGGGAGUCUCCUGUGCAGCUUUUUUCGCGCCAGUACAACCCAUCUAAACCGCCUUCUUGCCGAGCAACAAGAGCGCGAAAGGCAGCUUCACCGUGCUGAAGAUCUACUGUGCCUGCAGCAAGUAGAUCUGGCGGGCCGCAUGCGCAAAGCAAUGGAUUUACAACAGGACAGCUAUGCACAUGCGGAAAUGCAGCGGAAAGUGCUUGCGCUGCAGUGCAGAAGGGUUGUAAGGAGCGUUGGUGAUGUUGUCGGAUCCCUUUCAGGGAUUGACGUGGAAGCGGUGAUGUUAGAGCUGGAGAGCAGAAUUCAGGGAAUCCUGCGGGUGCCAAGCUCAGAUGCGAGCAACGAGUACGGAAUGCACAAAGCAGCAGGGGAAUCUUGAUGUUGCUGCUUCGUGCCUCUUCAUCUGUCUGCUCUGUACAUUUAUCUCGCUUCAUUUUCUUGGCGUUUGUGACUCAGUCUCUUUGUUUUCUUCAAAUGCUUUUCUGUAUUCAGUGGCUUUGCAUAUCAGCUCGUUUUUUUUC